GGGAAGUGCCUGAUCCACCGAAACCCGCUCCCAAGAAGGGCGCCAAGAAAGCUCUGUCCAAACCGGCGAGCAAGUCUGGCAAGAAGCGCAAGAGGUCGAGGAAGGAGAGUUACAAAGUGCUGAAGCAGGUUCACCCCGACACCGGCAUCUCCUCCAAGGCCAUGAGCACCAUGAAUUCAUUCGUGAACGAUAUCUUCGAGCGCAUCGCGGGUGAGGCUUACCGCCUGGCCGACUACAACAAGCGGUCCACCAUCAGCUCCCGGGAGAUCCAGACCACCGUGCGCCUGCUGCUGCCCGGGGACCUGGCCAAGCACGCCGUGUCCGAAGGAUCAAUGGCGGUGACCAAGUACACCAGCUCCAAGUAAAGACAACUUUACUGACAAAACAAACGGGAAAUUCAAAGGAUCAUUUAAGAGCCACUCACGCUUUCAUUAAAAGAGUUACAAAAUAUUGAGCCAUGGACUUGAGACAGCUGCACCAUAGACCCUGAAAGUGACAUCAGGAAUAUCUUCUCCGCAAGUUACAGUGAGCAUCUGGGAUAAAUCUGAUCAACAGCACAAGAACCCCUGGCCGAACUCAUAUACUCAUCGUUGCCGGAAUACGUAACAGGAUGACGUCAGCUUUUCUGUCAAUGCAGAAGCAUCUCACCCACUUCCACGUAGCAAAUCAGUGGUCAGCACUUUACACCACUUAAUAUCUUUGAAUCCAAACCCCAGCUCCUGAAGGGAAAAAGGAAAAUAUGUGCGAAAGUCUGAGAUGCAUAUUCCCACAUAGCUGUCCAGAACACAGCAGGUAACCGUUUGCUAUGCCUCAUAAACAGUGGACGAAGAAAACUGCUACCGCGAAGACCGCUCAUGUUGGAACAGAAUCAAGGCCUACUUCUACUGAAGAACCGCGGACUCAGGUACAACACACCACCGGUGAAACAGAAAAGGAGAGUGCGGCAGCAUCGGCCAUUUCUAAAGGGAAAGAUCAACGAGAACUGCGCAAGCGUAAAGGAACGAGCAUGCGCAAAAGAGAGCAACCAGAACUACAAAACCCAGCAACGACUGAAACCGACAGUGAAUCAAGUCUGAGAGAGAGGCGGACUCUCUGGAAAAAUCAGACGAAGAUGGAGAAGAAGAAGAAGAAGAUGAAAGUUCCUCUGAAAAUACAAAAAAGAUUUUGAGGCAAAUAAUGCAUAAAUUAAAUGCAUUAAAAGUAAUUAAAAGUAACCAAAAAGUAAUUAAAGAAAACAAUAACAAAUAUGGAGGCUAUGUUUGAUAAAAUGACAAAGAAACAGGAAAAAAUGGAAAAGAAAAUUACAGAUUUGGACGUCAAAAUGGAAGAAAAAGAUGGAAGAAUGAAGAAGAUGGAAGAUGAUAAUGAUGCCUGGACAUCAGAAAGAAAACAACUCGUGGGAAAAAUUGAUAAGCUUGAAAAUUUUAGUAGACGCAACAAUAUUAAAAUUGUUGGACUUAAAGAAGGUACCGAAGGAGAAGACCCAAUAAUUUGUUUUCAAAAAUGGAUUCCUGAGAAAUUGGAAAUGGGAGAAGAAACUUUAAUUGAAAUUGAAAGGGUGCACAGAGCCUUAAGACCAAGAUCUCAAGAUGAUCAAAAUCCGCGAUCAAUUUUGAUAAGAUGUUUAAGAUACCAGGAUAAAGAAAAGAUUUUGAGGGCGGCUGCCCAGGGUGCUAAAAGAAGAAAAGGUCCGUUGAUGAUAGCAGAGAAACCAGUUCUUUUUUAUCCUGAUAUAAGUUAUAACCUUUUGAAGAGAAAGAAAGAAUUUAAUCCAGCUAAAAAUGUUUUAUGUGAAAAAGGUUAUAAGAUUUUAAUGCGUCACCCAGCAACACUGAUAAAUUUUUUGGAGGAAGGAAAUAGAUUUUUUUCUGAUUAUCAAGAUGCGGAGGUGUUUGCACAAAAACUUCCAUCUCUUCGUUAAUUAAACGUAGCGAUUUCUAAAUGUAAUGGUUAAAGACGAAGACAGAGAAAGCAAAUGGAACUGAUGGACAUUUAAGGACGAUAUAAGAGAGAAAAGUAAAAUUUUAGAAAUAUUAAUUGAGAAUAGUAUGUUUUUUUAUAUAUACUUUUUAUGUUGCGGGGGGCUGCGGAGCUUUGAAUCGGUUACUACGGGAUUCACGUGUGUAAUCACGGCGAUUGCCAUGACCCGUACAAUAGAGGGGGGUAAUGUUGUGUUUUUUUUCUUUCACAACAUUAGUAAGGGGGUAUUUUGUUUUUUUCUUUAUUUUCUAUUUUUCUUCUAUUGUUUUGCCUGGAUGAUUGGUGGGGACACACAUAGCAACAUGGUGACUUCUAAAAAGAUUUCCCAGGAUGCAAUGAAAGUUGAAAGAUUAGGUAUUAUUAUAGAUUGGAGUGACAUAAAUAAAAAUAAUGACUAAUUUAUUGAUUUUUUUAAGUUUUAAUGUUAGUGGGCUUAAUGGACCAAUAAAAAGAAAAAGAAUUUUAACAUAUAAUAAAAAAAUGAAAAUAGAUAUAGCUUUCUUACAAGAAACUCAUUUAAUGGAUAUAGAACAUCAGAAAUUAAAAAGAGACUGGGUUGGAAAUGUUAUUGCAGUUUCACUUAACUCAAAGGCAAGAGGAGUUGCAAUUUUGGUUAAUAAAAAAUUACCAAUUAAAAUACAAAAUAUAUUAAUUGAUUCGGCCGGAAGAUAUUUAAUUAUACAUUGUCAAUUUUUUUCAGAACUAUGGACUCUUAUGAAUAUUUAUGCACCAAAUGAAAAUGAUGUAAAAUUUAUAUAGGAGGUCUUUUUGAAUUUGGCUAAUGCACAUGAUAAAAUAUUAAUAGGUGGAGAUUUUAAUAUUUUGUUUAGAUCCAGUUUUAGAUACAUCAAUAAAGGCUAUUACAAAAUCAAAAGUAGCAAAAUUAACUCUAUCAUUGAUGAAAGAUUUAAAUUUGAUUGCUAUAUGGAGAAGAAUCAAUCCAAAAGAAAGGGAUUAUUCAUUUUAUUCAAAUAGACAUAAAACAUAUUCAAGGAUAGAUUUUUUCCUAUUAUCAACAAAUACUCAAGAUAGAGUGAAAAAUGUGGAAUAUAAAGCAAGAAUAUUGUCUGAUCACUCUCCUUUAAUAAUGACAAUGAUAAUGAUAGAUAAAGAGGAAUCAAUUUAUAGAUGGAGAUUUAAUUCAAUUCUACUAAAACGUCAAGAUUUUUGUGAUUUUAUGAGAAAGCAGAUUCAGUUCUUUUUAGCUACAAAUUUACAUUCAGUUGAUGAUAAAUUUAUAUUGUGGGAAACAAUGAUAGCAUAUUUGAGAGGCCAGAUAAUAAGUUAUACUUCUAAAAUUAAGAAGGAAUAUAUGAUAGAAAUAGAUCAAUUGGAAAAAGAGUUUAUAAAAUUAGAAAAAGAAUCUCAAAGAAAUAUGACAGAAGAAAAACGAAGGCAACUUAUUAAUAAGAAGUCAAAACAUAAUACACUCCAGACAUAUUGAACAGAAAAAGCAAUUAUGAGAACUAAACAGAGAUAUUAUGAACUAGGUGAAUUUCUUGCAUGGCAGUUAAAAACAGAUCAGAUUUCUAAAACAAUAAAUGCAAUUCGAACAAAAGUGAAUGAAAUUACUUAUAAACCUCUAGAAAUUAAUGAGGCUUUUAAGAAUUUUUAUUCUGAGUUGUAUAAAUCAGAAUCAAAGAAUGAUGACGUUAAGAUAGAAGAAUUUUUAUCACAAAUAACUCUUCCAAAAUUAAAUACAGAAGAACAGAAGGGAUUAGGUAUGCCUUUUACAUUGAAGGAAGUUGAAGAAGCUUUGGGAUCACUUCAAAGUAAUAAAUCUCCAGGAGAAGAUGGUUUUCCACCUGAAUGUUAUAAAAAAAGUUUAAAGAUUUAUUAAUUCCUCCUUUUAUGGAGUUAAUAUAUCAAGCGGAAAGAACGCAUAAACUUCCAGAAUCUUUUUCAACAGCUAUUUUAAUAGUAUUGCCAAAAAAAGAUAGAGACCUUUUAAAACCAACAUCAUAUAGACCUAUUUAUUUAUUAAACACCGAUUAUAAAAUAACAGCAAAUAUCUUAUCUGAUAGAUUAUCUAAAUGCUUACCAAAAUUAGUGCAUAUGGAUCAAACAGGAUUUAUCAAAAAUAGACAAUCGGCAGAUAAUGUAACUCGGUUAUUUAGUAUAAUCCAUCUAGCACAAAAGAGGGAGGAAAUGAGUGUGGCAGUUGCUUUAGAUGUAGAAAAAGCAUUUGAUAGAUUGGAAUGGGAUUUUUUAUUUAGGGUACUGGAAAAAUAUGGACUAGGAACAUCAUUUAUAAAAUGGAUUAAAACCUUAAAUACUAAUCCCAAAGCUAAGGUAGUGACAAAUGGUCAAAUUUCAACAUCAUUUCAGUUAACAAGAUCAACUAGGCAAGGUUGCCCACUAUCACCUGCUUUAUUUGUGUUGGCAAUAG